rnacentral:lncRNA from 1 species
GGAAAGAAGCUGAAGCUAUUAUCCAGCAAUGCCCAACUUGCCAAAUGGUACAUUCCUCAUCUUUUACAGAAGUAGUUAAUCCUCCAGGACUGGAACCUAAUUCUAUUUGGCAAAUGGAUGUCACACAUGUUCCCUCGUUUGGGAGACUAGCUUAUGUACAUGUAUGUGUGGGCACCUUGUGGGCACCUUUUCUCACUUUGUGUGGGCUACAAGCCAAACAGGAGAGUCUUCUGCCUGUGUUAAAUGUCAUCUUUUGCAGUGUUUUGCAGUGAUGGGCAUUCCAGCUUCUAUUAAAACAGAUAAUGCCCCAGGCUAUACUAGCCUAGCUCUAGCUACAUUUUUCUCUAUGUGGAAUAUUUAAUGGUAGCUAUGAUAGUGGUUAUCACCACUGCUAUGAGUAUUCCUUCAAUAAGGGCUGGUAAUAAUGCCUGGAUGCAAUCACUCUAUGACACAGUUAUACACGCUUUCUGAUCUCAGUAUUUACCAUAAUAAAUCUGCUCCUAUAAUUGAGGCAUACCGCCCUCAAAAACCUAUUUGUAAACAGGAUUGGACCCAGUUAGAAAAAAUGAACGUACUUGUUUAGGAAGAUUGCUUUGCAGAACAGGCAGAGGUGCUGCACAAUGAUUCCUAUGGAAUCAUUAUUAAUUAGUCCCCUAAGGGGAUGAUUAAAUUGCACCUCUCAGUCUGUGUGCCACGGUCACACUAUGUUCAGAUGAUCUGAACAAAACUGUCAGAUGGUAGAAAUGAUAAGAAGUACGGCAAAAGUUCCUAUUAUCUGGAACCAUGGUGGUAUAGUGGCACCUCAACCUCAAAUGAUAUGGCCCACUCUAGGAGCUAAACAUAAGGAUUUGUGGAAGCUAUUAAAUGCUCUUAAUAAGAUCAAAAUUUGGAAAAGAAUAAAAAAGUGUCUAGAAGGAUACUCUACAAACUUGUUUUUGGAUAUAGCAAAAUUAAAAGAACAAAUAUUUAAAACAUCCCAGGCACACCUGACAUUAAUGCCAGGAACUGGAAUGCUUAAAGGAGCUGCAGACAAAUUAGCAGCUCCCACUGCGCCCGUCCUUAAAGGCAUUCUUAAACCACAAACAAUAGCAUGAGCAGUCUGUGCCUUAAGGCCAUGUUCCUGCUGCAGUUAACUAGCCCAACCUAUUCCUUUAAUUCAGCCGUCCCUUCGUUUCCCAUAGGGGUACUUUUAGUUAAUUUAAUAUCUAUAGAAACAAUGCUAAUGACUGGUUUGUUGUUAAUAAAUAUGUGGAUAAAUCUCUGUUUGGGGCUCUCAGCUCUGAAGGCUGUGAGACCCCUGAUUUCCCACUUCUCACCUCUAUAUUUCUGUGUAUGCAUCUUUAAUUCCUCUAGCGCUGCUGGGCUAAGGUCUCCCCAACCGAGCUGGUCUGGGCAAUUUUUUAGUAGAGGCGGGAUUUCUCCAUGUUAGUCAGGCUGGUCUCAAACUCCCGCCCUCAGGUGAUCCGCCCUGAGCCUCAGCCUCCCAAAGUGCUGGGAUUACAGGUGUGAGCCGCCGUGCCCAGCCAGCUCCUUGUUUCUUGGCACAGAUAUUUCCUCCAGCGGUAGGGCCUCCUUUUCUCUCUGCUACCCCAGGUGUUUGAAGGUCAGCCCCAGAGGCAAUUGAAGCCAGGAAGGGGCUUUCCUAGGCUUCACUGUGCAUUGGGGAUAUGCUUGUCUGCAUCAACAGAAUAAGCCACAUCCAAGUGGCCAGCCAGAGUGAGAAGUAAAGGCCAUGGCCACAUGCCCAUCCCUCUUCUGUCCAGGCCAUUUAAGGGUAGGAGACCGGGCACAGUUGCUCACACCUGUAAUCCCAGCACUUUGGGAGGCCAAGGCAGGUGGAUCACCUGAGGUCAGGAGUUCAAGACCAGCUUAGCCAACAUGGUGAAAUCCUGUCUCUACUAAAAAUACAAAAGUUAGCCAGGCGUGGUGGCGGGUACCUGUAAUCCCAGCUACUCAGGAGACUGAGGCAUGAGAAUUGCUUGAACCAGGGAGGUAGAGGUUGCAGUGAGCCAAGAUUGUGCCACUGCACUCCAGCCUUGGUGACCAGAGUGAAACUCCAUCUUGGACCAGGUGUGGUGGCUCACCCCUGUAAUCCCAGCACUUUGGGAGGCCGAGGCAGGCAGAUCAUGAGGUCAGGAGAUUGAGACCAUCCUGGCUAACAUGGUGAAACCCCGUCUCUAUUAAAAAUACAAAAAAAUUAGCUGGGCAAGGUGGCAGAUACCUGUAGUCCCAGCUCCUUGGGAGGCUGAGGCAGGAGAAUGGCAUGAACCCGGAAGGCAGAGGUUUCAGCGAGCCGAGAUUGCACCACUGCACUCCAGCCUGGACCACAGAGCAAGACUGUGUCUCAAAAAAAAAAAAAAAAAGAAAAAA